GUCUAUGGCCCUACCACCCCAAACGCACCCCAUCUCAUCUGACCUCGGAAGCGAAGCAGAAUUGGGCUUGGUUAGUACUUGGAUGGAGACUAGAGGGCUCUGAUAUCUUUAGAUA
rnacentral:rRNA from 1 species